AUUGAACGCUGGCGGCAGGCCUAACACAUGCAAGUCGAACGAGUGGGGGACGGGCGAGUAAUGACUGGGAACCUGCUCGACGGAGGGGGAUAACUACUGGAAACGGUAGCUAAUUACGCACAUCAGCGGAUGUGUCCAGAUGGGAUUAGCUAGGAGGUGGGGUAAGGGCUCACCUAGGCGACUAUCCCUAGCUGGUUUGAGAGGAUGACCAGCCACACUGGAACUGAGACACGGUCCAGACUCCUACGGGAGGCAGCAGUGGGGAAUAUUGCACAAUGGGCGCAAGCCUGAUGCAGCCAUGCCGCGUGUAUGAAGAAGGCCUUCGGGUUGUAAAGUACUUUCAGCGAGGAGGCGUUACUCGCAGAAGAAGCAUCGGCUAACUCCGUGCCAGCCGCCGCGGUAAUAC
rnacentral:rRNA from 1 species